CCUACGCCACUGCAUCUCUCGUGCCAAGUCCCAACAGGCUUUAUUCCACACAUUACGCACUCUUUUUUCCUUUCUUGGCCUCCGCCAACGUUUUGCCUUUGAACGUCACUUAUCUUGCCGUUUUCGUCCCUCCCGUCAUUUUCCACUGGCGAUCGCUGUACGCCCCAACUUCUGCUUCUCCACAUCGAUACUGGUGGGCCGCGCUAUCCGGUAUGCGGCGGAGAAGAGGCGAAUGCCAUAUUUGAGUCAGCGUGUGCACGCGCACUAAACAUCCGUCGCUGCAAGGUAUGAAAUGGGCCAGGCGGUAAUGGAGGAUCAAGGAAACUCGCUGGUGGUGUGGGGGAGCACUGGGAGGCGGCUACAGUUCUCCAUGCAGGAUUUGAAGCUGCCCGCGAGCCUUCGCGACAAUCCGCACUUUCACUUUUACGAGAAGCAGUGGGACGCCGUGGCGAGUUUCUGGUUUAACCGUGUUUUGAAGGAGUCGGCCCUUCAGCACCUUUCGGUGGAGGCCAUCAUAGAGUUGAUUCGUGAAGACAUCUCCAAGCGCUGGGAGCGGCGUCGACAAGAGCAGAGCAUCUACAAGAAGCGCAAGAGACUGUUGCAGCGUAGUGGCCCAGCAGGAACCCCCUCGGCAUCUGUGUUGCUAACAAACGUGACGACACUAGAGGGCUAUCACGCAGCUACAGAGAUGGAGCAGAAGGAUUUGGUAACAGCCUUGGUGGAGCGAGUCGAGGACGUCGCAAAAGACAAGGUAGAAUCCUGGCGGGUGCUCAUCGACGACGCAUCAGAACAACGACCCGCCAAGGCUGCGCGUGUAGAAGGUACCACGGCAACGUCGGGGGAACACUCUGAAGACGACGCUGACGCUGCCGGCGACUUUGACGACCGCGUUGCCGUCGUCUUGAAACUAUCCAGUAAGGAAAAGGCCGCUACUACGAUCGCCCACCUCCACGGUAGCAGGUUCGACGACCGCCGAGUAUUGUGCCGGUUCUGGAGCGAAUCGUGAUUUCUACGACUUUCUCAGCCUGCCCCUUUUGCGUGCGUGAAGAUGUGCAGGGAAGAGUAUGGCCCCCAUAACCCAAGUGCUUGGCUGCGGGAAAAUAUGAGUUUGGCGCGCAGGGGGGCUGCCUGGUGCAGUCAGGAGAUCAUUAACGAAAAGACCGCCUUCUCUCCCGCGUUGUCCAUCUCGCCCUUCCAGCUACCGCUUCUUCUUCCUUCCAUACUUCCUCCUUGUUGUUAGUCUGAAAGACGGUAGCGGACAACAG
rnacentral:misc_RNA from 1 species